ACUUAAAUUGAAGAGUUUGAUCAUGGCUCAGAUUGAACGCUGGCGGCAGGCCUAACACAUGCAAGUCGAACGGUAACAGGAAGCAGCUAGCUGCUUCGCUGACGAGUGGCG
rnacentral:rRNA from 1 species